CCUACGGGAGGCAGCAGUGAGGAAUAUUGCACAAUGGGCGCGAGCCUGAACCAGCCACGCAGCGUGAAGGAUGACUGCCUUCCGGUUUGUAAACUCUUUUUUUAAAGGAAUACAGUGAGGCACGUGUGCCUUUUUGUAUGUACUUUAUGAUUAAGGAUCGCCUAAAUCCGUGCCAGCCGCCGCGGUAAUACGGAGGAUCUGUGCGUUACCCGGACUUAUGGGGUUUAAAGGGAGCGUAGAUGGGUUGUUAAGUCAGUUGUGAAAGUUUGGGGCUCAACCGUAAAAUUGCAAUGGAUACUGGCAGUCUAGAGUACAGGUGAGGUAAGCGGAAUUCGGUGUGUAGCGGUGAAAUGCGUAGAGAUCACGAAGAACACC
rnacentral:rRNA from 1 species